GGGCCUGUAGCUCAAUUGAUAGAGCGCGUGAUUCGCAUUCACGAGGUCGGGGGUUUGAAUCCCCCCAGGUCCACCA
rnacentral:tRNA from 1 species